ACUCAAAGGAAUUGACGGGGGCCCGCACAAGCGGUGGAGCAUGUGGUUUAAUUCGACGCAACGCGAAGAACCUUACCCAGGCUUGACAUGCAUCGGACUGGUGUGGAAACACACCUUUCCUUCGGGACCGAUGCACAGGUGCUGCAUGGCUGUCGUCAGCUCGUGUCGUGAGAUGUUGGGUUAAGUCCCGCAACGAGCGCAACCCUUGUCCUUAGUUGCUAACGGAUAACGCCGAGCACUCUAAGGAGACUGCCGGUGGUAAACCGGAGGAAGGUGGGGAUGACGUCAAGUCCUCAUGGCCCUUACGCCUGGGGCUACACACGUGCUACAAUGGCCGGCACAAAGGGUUCCGAUACCGCGAGGUGGAGGUAAUCCCAAAAAACCGGUCUCAGUUCGGAUUGCAGUCUGCAACUCGACUGCAUGAAGUUGGAAUCGCUAGUAAUCGCUGAUCAGCAGGCAGCGGUGAAUACGUUCCCGGGCCUUGUACACACCGCCCGU
rnacentral:rRNA from 1 species